CCUACGGGAGGCAGCAGUGGGGAAUAUUGCACAAUGGGGGGAACCCUGAUCCAGCGACGCCGCGUGAGUGAAGAAGUAUUUCGGUAUGUAAAGCUCUAUCAGCAGGGAAGAAAAUGACGGUACCUGACUAAGAAGCCCCGGCUAACUACGUGCCAGCAGCCGCGGUAAUACGUAGGGGGCAAGCGUUAUCCGGAUUUACUGGGUGUAAAGGGAGCGUAGACGGUGGCGCAAGUCUGAUGUGAAAGGUCGUGGCGCAACCCUGGAACUGCAUUGGAAACUGUUGAACUGGAGUGCAGGAGAGGUAAGCGGAAUUCCUAGUGUAGCGGUGAAAUGCGUAGAUAUUAGGAGGAACACCAGUGGCGAAGGCGGCUUACUGGACUGUAACUGACGUUGAGGCUCGAAAGCGUGGGGAGCAAACAGGAUUAGAUACCCGGGUAGUC
rnacentral:rRNA from 1 species